CGUUUUCAUUCGGUGUUUGUUUCAUUGAGACUUAAUCCAUACCUGAUCUGAAACCUGGAGAGUUACCAGGAAAAUUUGUAUGAAAGUUGCAGGUUACCUGUAACUCACCUGACAGCUUUGAAGCUCUGAUCAGAUCCCUCCACCAUAAUAAGCGUGCGUUCUGUUUGAAUGACUCAACCAAUGGCACAAGCUCGUGGUGGAAUCAAAAAGUAGAUUGGAGUCGACGCAAAGUUUCUACGUGCACUAACUGCAGAGGUAACAUUUCUAAAUGAUAUUGUUCAAGACUAGAAAAAAAGGAGAGUUUCGAGCGCCAAUUUCACAAAUCUAACAUGGUUUCCAACCUGUUUUAAGUGGUUUUGAAAAAAGUGAGUGAACGGACUGAAAAUAGUUGAAAAAAGUGAGAAAUCGAGCAAAUAGUUGCUCACUU